rnacentral:rRNA from 1 species
CCAGGACCCGCGGUAAUUCCAGCUCCAAUAGCGUAUAUUUAAGUUGUUGCAGUUAAAAAGCUCGUAGUUGGAUUUCGGGUGGGUUCUAGCGGUCCGCCUAUGGUGAGUACUGCUAUGGCCUUCCUUUCUACCAUAAACGGGCUCCUGGGCUUAACUGUCCGGGACUCGGGUGUGGUGCAGUUACUUUGAGUAAAUUAGAGUGUUCAAAGCAGGCUUACGCCCUGAAUACUUUAGCAUGGAAUAACACGAUAGGACUCUGCCCUAUCUUGUUGGCCUGUAGGGGUGGAGUAAUGAUUAAGAGGGACAGUCGGGGGCAUUCGUAUUUCAUUGUCAGAGGUGAAAUUCUUGGAUUUAUGAAAGACGAACUACUGCGAAAGCAUUUGCCAAGGAUGUUUUCAUCAAUCAAGAACGAAAGU